GCCAAGGUGGCCUAGUGGUUUGAGCAUCAGACUGUGGCUCUGGAGACCAGGGUUCGAGUCCCACCAUGGCC